AGCUGCAAACAAAUGACACACAAGCCCACUUUCAGGUGGACUGACUGUCUCUACCAGGCUGAAGACCGAAAUCCAGAUCCCAGUGUAAAGUUUGCUGUUGUUGUAGUUCCUGACGGCUGUCACUAGAUGUCGCCGAAUCCCCUCUUCUUCAUGAGGAAUGGAAUCACGAUGCCAGACAGCAAAGAGGACAGAUGAAUGAAGUAUGCAUCAUGAACGUACUUGAUCCGUCCUGGGAUCGUCCCAACCAUUUCCCCUCUGGGUUUCCCUGCACACGGAUGAUGUCCAGAGAGUCUCCCUGCUUCAGAGCGAGGUCAGUCUUGCCGCCUCUGCAGUCCACACGAGCAUUUCCUUGGUGAAUGACC